rnacentral:lncRNA from 1 species
GAGAAGUGAAGAAGAUGAAGAAGAAAAGGAAAAAUAGGAGAAAAAUAGAGGAAAAAUAGUCACGUACAUUUCCAAGAUCUCGGUAUUUUUCUCUUUUUUGCAUUUUUUUUUUUCCCAUUCUUGUCUCAUAACUCUCAUUGGCUUUUAAAAAAUAUAUAUAUAAAUAUUGUAUUUUGACAUGAAAAUUUUACUAAAUAAAAAUAAACAAACAAAAAACACUCAUAGACAUAUUUUUUUGUUAAUGUGAUAUGCAUAUUUUUUUUUUCUAUUUUUUUUUCUUAAUUUAAUUAUACUUAUUUUAUUAUAGUAUAGAUAAUUUGUUUACAAGAUGGAUAAUGAGAGUGAAACUCAAGUGGACUAUGGUGCAAAUGGAAGAAAAGAUCUGGAAUGAAAGUAUGCUCAUUUGGUUAAUGAAAAAGAUUUGAACAUCAUCAUAUGCAUUUUUUGUGAUAAACUAGCCAAAUGAGGCAUAUAUAGGCACAAACAACAUCUUGUUGGUGGAUAUAGAAAAGCUAAAAAGUGUAGAAAAUAUCUGAAACAUGUUAAAGAACAAAUGGAAGAGUAUAUGAGUUCCAAGAAAAGUAAAAAAAUGCAAAUGAAUAUGGGGAGCGAAGAUGUUAAUGAAGAUUUGUUUGGUUUGGAAUAUGAAGAUUUUGGUGAGGAGAUUGAUAGUUUAAUGAAUAUCACCAACAUUUCUAGUGGAGGUAGUAACCGAUGAGAAAGUGGUGGUCGGAUGUUUUCUUCAAAAAAACCAAGACAAAAAGGUCCUAUGGAUCAUUUUUCACUCCUAAUGCAGAGAUAGUUGUUCAAAAUCGAAGGAGUGGGAAGAUGAAUCAAACUACCAUCAAUAAUGCCUAUAAAAAGGAAGCAAGAGAAAAAGCUUGCAUGCUUAUCACAAAGUGGAUGUAUGAGGUUGCUAUUCCAUUUAAUGCAGUCACAUAUCCGAGUUUUCAAUCAAUGAUUGAGGCUAUUGGCUAAUAUGGUGUGGGUAUGAAUGGACCAACUUUUCAUGAGGUAAUAAUUACUAACCUUAAGAAAUAAUUGGCUCUCACAAAAGAUUUGAUGAAAGAUCAUAUGGUGGAAUGGAAAAAAAAAUGGAUGCUCAAUUAUAUCGGAUGGAUAAGCCAAUAGGAAAGAGAGAAUUUUGAUGAACUUUUUGGUUAAUUGUUCAAAGGGAACCAUGUUCAUGCAAUCUAUUAAUGCUUCUUCAAUGAUUAAGACAUGAGAAAAAAUGUUUGAGUUACUUGACAAAUGGGUAAAGCAAGUUGGCGAGGAGAAUGUUAUUCAAGUUAUAACAGAUAAUCACUCAAGUUAUAUGAUGACAAGUAAUAAAUACUAUUUCUUGAAUUUUUAUUUACUUUUAAAUUUUGAAUUAUUUAUCUUGAGAACUUAUGUAAAUUUAUUAUCUACAGUGUCACAUAUGGAGGUUGUUAUAAAUAAAGCGUUUGCAUUUGUAUUAGACACCAUGUGCUGCACAUUGCCUUGACUUGAUGUUGGAAGAUAUUGGAAAGCUACCAAACAUCAAGAGGACAUUGGAGAGGACUAUAUCACUAAAUAGGUAUAUUUAUAAUCGCUCAAGGCUACUCAACAUGAUGAGGCGGUUUAUUGGACAAAAGGAAUUGCUUAGACCUACUAAAACUCGAUUUACAACUGCUUUCAUCACAUUAUCGCUAUUGCAUGAACAAAAAAACAACUUGAGGAAAAUGUUUACAAGUUCAGAUUGGUCAGAUAGUAUAUGGGCAAAAGAGCAGAAGGGGAAAACUAUAACCAGCAUAGUUCUAAUGCCUUCAUUUUGGAACAUAAUUGUGUUUUGCUUAAAGGUUUUGGGUGCCCUAGUUCGUGUGUUUCGUUUGGUUGAUGGUGAAAAGAAAGCUCUUAUGUGAUACAUCUAAGAGGCCAUGAAUAGAGCUAAGGAUACAAUUGUGAGAAGUUUUAAUGAAAAUGAAGAGAAGUACAAUAGAUAUUAUAGAAUGGGUGUAAAGAAGAGGAUUUUUGUGCUUUCAUAGUGGCUUGGGUUUUUUUGUAAGGGGGUGAGUUGUUCUAUACUGUAACUAUUUGAGUUGCUUCUUUAGCGCCUCUUUUGAAUACACAUAUUACUUACUGAUAAAUAAAUAAAAAAUAGAAAUGAAGAGAAGUACAAAGAAAUCUUCAAAAUCAUUGAUAAGAGGUAGGAGAUUCAGCUUCAUCAACCUUUGCAUGCAAUAAGGUACUUUUUGAACCCAAAAUUCUUCUAUGAUAAACCAGAAAUAGAGCAUGAUGCAAAGAUUAUGAGUGAUUUGUAUAAAUGCAUCUUAAGGCUAACAAGAGACCCUGUUAAGCAAGAAAAAGUUAUGGCCGAAGUGAGUUUGUAUACAAAUGCCCAAGGACUAUUCGAGAAUGAGUUAGUUGUUAAGACAAGGAAGACUAGAGCAUCAGGUUAGUUAUUUAGUUUUGUUUAUUUAAAUUAUUAGAUUGUAUUUUUGCUAAAAUAGGUUAAUUGUUUCACUAAGUUGUUAAUAUCUAUACUACAACCGAGUGGUGGCCUGCAUAUGGAGCUUCAGUUUCAAAUUUGCAAAGGUUUGCAAUGAAAGUCUUUAACUUAACAUGCAGUGCAUCGGGUUGUGAACGGAAUUGGAGCAUCUUUGAAAAUGUAAGUGACCAAAAUAAUUACAAGUAAUAGUCUAAUAGAGUGUUGAAUGCAACUUACAAGUUAAAACUUUAAAAUAUAUUUAUGAGCUUAUGAAUUUUUGCAGAUUCAUAGCAAGAGGAGAAAUAUGUUAGAUCAUCAACGCUUGAAUGAUUUGGUAUACAUUAAGUAUAAUUGAGCCUUGAAGAGAAGAUACAAUGAACGUAACACCAUUGACCCAAUUUCCUUGAAAGAUAUAAACGAUAGCAAUGAAUGGUUGAUAGGAAGAAUGGAAUAUGAGGAUUCUCAUGGAGAUGCACAAGAUGAUUUUGUAUUUGAUGAUGAUAAUUUGAUAUAGGGUGAUGUUGCUAGAGGUACUGGAGCUAAGGGGGUCAAGUUUGAUACUAAAGCUAGAGCUAAAGCAAGCUCAAGCAUAAUAUCACUAACGAGGGGGAUAACUUUAAGUUCUAGAACCUUGCCUUCUCAUUUACUAAUAGAUGAAGAUGAAGAUGGAGAUAUGGUUGAUUCAGUAGAUGAAGAAGAUGGGGAAGGCUACAAAUAUGAUGAUAGAAAUGAUGAUGAUAAUGAUUUUGUUGAUUCAGAGGAGGAGUGAUGAUUGCUUGUUGUGAACAAAUUUGUUAUUUAAGUGUUUUUUAAUAAUGUUUUUGAAUUGUGGACAAAUUUCAUGUUUUGGUUUGGAAACUUUGGAUUUGGAUAUGUAUUAGGCUAUUAGCAAUAUGGAUUUGGAUUUGUUUUUAUGCUUGGAGUUCUUUAUUUUUAUGUUUUUUGUUGAUUAAAUUGAAGUUUUGGGAUGAUAUUUGAUGAUUUAUGUGUUUAGGAAAAUAAAUAAUUGUUAAAUUUAAUUAUAUUAUAUUAUAUAAAUAUAUAUAUAUAUAUAUGUAAAUUAAGAUGCACCUCAUUUCACUAAAGUCUGCGCCUUAGGUGCGCCUUGAGCCUUUUAAAACUAUGUUUCAAACUCAAAAACCAAUUCAAUAGAAAUUAGAAAUUCAUAUAUCAAAACUAGUCUAACAUGAUCCACAUGUUUAUUCUUUUGAACAGGACUAUGCUUUUUCAAAAUUUCAAGUAAAACUUAAUACAAACAUUUUAUUAACAAGUUGAGUAAUUUUAAAAUAAUUUGGAAUUCAAAAACCAAUAUAAUGAAUAUAAGAAAUUCAUGGAUCAAAACUAAUCGAACAAAACUUUAAUAUAUCUUUUUUCGCACAUAGUUAUAAUUUUUUUAAAAUUUUCUUACUAGUUAAAUGGAUACAAAAUCAAGACUUAUGUCUUAAAUUGGCGAAUAAUGUAAUAUUUUGUAAAUAAUUUAUAACUCUAACUUAACUAGAUAACUAUCAUAAAUUUAUAGACUAAGUAGGUGUUUGGUAAAUCAAUUUAAUAACUUAAAGUGACUUAAUAACUUAAUUUAAGUCAUUAAAUAAAUUAAGUAUAUUUGAUAAAAUAAUUUAAUGAUAUGAUUUAAAGUAAAAAAUAACUUUAAAUAAUAAGUAAAAACAAUUAACUCAUUCUUAAGUUCACAUCUUCAUCGUGUCUUUCUAUUCUUAUUUAUCCUAAUUACUUCCAUAAUCUCCUUUACUAUUCCAUGACCUCUAUUGUUACUCAAUUUCUUUGCCCUAAUUAUAAUUUAUGAGAAUAAAUAUGUUGAUUUGAUGAUUUAGGAUAAAUUUUAAAUUAAUUUUAUCAAACCACCUUAAUACUUAAAAUAAGAAUUAAAUAAUAAAUUUCAAGUUAACUAUUUAAAUAUAAUUUAACGUAAAGUCAACUUAAAUCAUUAAACAAUAAAUAUUAAAUUUUACCAACACCUUUUAAAUCAACACAUAUUAACUUAAUUAAAAAAUGAUUAAAAUAUUGAAACAAUAAUUUUAAACAUAAAACCAAGUAACAAUGAAAUUAAAUGUUGAAAUUAAUUGAAAUUUAUCUCUUUUUAAGUGUUCCUUUUUUUUUUCAAUUUUUAUAAUCAGAAUAUUGAAACUAAACAUGCCCAUAUCAUCUCUCUCUCUCUCUCUCUUUUAAAUUUUCUGCCAGAGGCACCCUAUCAGUUUUAUCCAAAAAUAGAUAAUAACAAAAGAUGGAACUAAUUAAAGGUUGGAAAGAAUGGGAAUCAAUAAUCCCCUCAAUAUUUAGCAUGGAUUUUGAGAGGGAGAGAGGUGAGGAGGGCCAAUGGUAAAUCCAGAGAAACCAAGAAAACUGAGGAGAUUUGAUGGGUUGGAUCCACACAGACCACACAUCUUCCCAUGAUUUUUUCUGGGUUUUACCAAAAAUAAAUUAACUUUGACACCUCUCUUAUAUAUAUGCAUAUUUCAGAGGUGGUAGUAUCAUCAGAGAUUGGGAGAUAUGGCAAAGGCAAAAGGGUUUAUCAAAGUACUGGUUAUGUGUUUAUUAAUAUUUGAGAUGGCUGACGCUGACCCACCUUUAGACCCCAAUUGUCUUGAAAAUUGUAUGACAGAAUGCAAGAAGAAUCAUUAUGACAUUGUAUGUGAUGUCUAUUGCAGUUCUCUGAAAUGUUCACCUGGGUCCACAAUAUAUACUAAGAAGGUAUGCAUCCAAAUAUUGUUUUGAGUCCCCUCUUUGGUAGCUGAAAUUACACCUGCUUUCAGAAAUGGAAAGAUGAAAACUAUGAAAACAUCUCUAAAACAACCAUUUUCAUUUUCAUUUUUAUUUUUCCUUACUAUCUAGGUUUUGUUGUUUGUUUUUUGUAUGCAGGAAAAUUGAGCAUAUAGCCUGAAGACAGGCUAAAUCACAAUGUUGAGCAUGGCUUAUCAGUAUCAAAGUAGGCUAAAUCAUACGCUAAUAAAAACCUGUCAUUCAAAUGGUAGAAAGGGUUAACCAGAGAGGAGACGUGAUUAG